CCCGCCCCGCCGCCCCCCGCCGGACUGGCCGCCCCGGCGGGCGCUGGCUCCCUUAAAGGCCGCCCGGCUCGCUCGGCUCCGCUCGCCUCGGCGCUGUCAGGGAAGGGGCCGGCCCGCCGCGCCGGGAGGGAGCUUUUAAAGCGACACACACGCCUCCCAACCCCGAGGGCCAAGCGCGCGAGCCUGGCUGGGGAGGUCUCGCCACCCGGGCAAGGGGGAAGGGUCUCGCUGGCGGGGCUGGAGGCGGACUGACUGGACCCCACGCCGGCUGACCUGAGGCACGGAGGGGCAGCGUUCUGGAUGGGGACUGUGAGUGAGGAGGACAAAAAAGAAAGGAGAAAUUUGGUUGGAAAUCCCAGAGAUUGUUCAUCAUGUGAGAGGAGCCGUGCAUGCAUUUCAUGCCGUACUCACACCAUGGAUGGAGAAAAAAUCAAGCUUCACUUUCUGAGAAUGGCCCUGGGGGCACUGCAGCUAGUGCCUGUGCAUCUGCAGCCCUGCCGAAUGCCUCCAGGUGAAUCAUGCCACCCCAAGCAAGAAAAGUCCCAGUUGCCAGGAGCCUGAAGGCAGAGAACUGAGGAGCCAGCCCCUGACAUCAGAAUGGAGCUUAAAGGUUGGCUGGGUGUGACUCUUUGCCGUGGACAGGUUCUCUUGGGAAAUCUACUUUAAUGAAUCCAGAGGAGCAAUUUGUAAUCAGCCCAUCAAAUGUUCAGCGACACUUAGCUGGAAUCUCAUUGCUGGACUCUGUGCCCCGCAGUGGAUGACAGUUCUCCAUCAGGGUCUGCAGUUCUCUACCCUGGACCUGCUGCAUCCUGGAGCCCCCAGCAGUCAGGUCCGUGUGGAUCUGUGUCUGUGUACACCAUGGCCCCAUCUCCCAGCAGCUCCCAUGGCUUGUAUCCAUGGAAACGCAGUCCUCCCCAACUAUGAUUCUCUGCUGACAAACCCUGGGAGUCUCCCCAGCCCCCUACCCACCUCGGAGAGGGAGCGUGGACCACAAAGGCUCCAGGCGGCAGGAGGGCGGCACUGUGGAGGAGGUGGCCACUUUCUCAGUUGCUUCGAAGGGCCAGGCAAGGCCAGGCCUCCACGACCUUCCUCCGUGGGUCUGUGGUCAAGGCCUUGUCACCUGCUUAAGGGAAGCGGCCUGAUGAGAGAGCCCUCACUGAGGCCCUGGGCCCUGGUGGGAUGAAGUUGGCAGGGCAGUCCCUGAGGGCUGUUGGCAGUGUGGCAGGGGAGGCGGGGAGGGGUUGCUGCCCUCACCAGUGGGGAGCACUAGCACUUGGGAGAGGGAGGCUGGGGAGUAGGGAGAGGGC
ensembl:lincRNA